GAGAUGGUGUUGGUGAAACUGAUCGGAGGUCGAUUAUCGGGCUGCUCCAUGCCGAGUGCUGUCGCCGGAGGAAGAGGGGCCUGGGAAAUCGGAGAUGAGGCCGGGGCUUGCGGAGCUCGCUGAGAUCUGGCCGUGGAGGCCGUUGAUCGCCUGAUGGAUGCCCUUCGGGGAGGCACCAGGUGGAGAUCAGGCAGGAAAUCGAAGGAGAAGAUGUCGGAGAAG
rnacentral:lncRNA from 1 species